GAUGAAGAACGUAGCGAAAUGCGAUAAGUAGUGUGAAUUGCAGAAUUCAGUGAAUCAUCGAAUCUUUGAACGCACAUUGCGCCCUUUGGUAUUCCAAAGGGCAUGCCUGUUCGAGCGUCAUUUGUACCCUCAAGCUUUGCUUGGUGUUGGGCGUCUUGUCUCUAGCUUUGCUGGAGACUCGCCUUAAAGUAAUUGGCAGCCGGCCUACUGGUUUCGGAGCGCAGCACAAGUCGCACUCUCUAUCAGCAAAGGUCUCGCAUCCAUUAAGCCUUUUUUUCAACUUUUGACCUCGGAUCAGGUAGGGAUACCCGCUGAACUUAAGCAUAUCAAUAAGCGGAGGA
rnacentral:misc_RNA from 1 species